rnacentral:RNase_P_RNA from 1 species
AUGAAAGAUUGGAUGGCUGCUUGUGCUUUUGGGUAUGAGAGGAAAGUCCGGGCUUCAUGGAAAUAGGACGCCGGCUAACGGCCGGGCAGUUUUUAACUGACAGACAGUGCAACAGAGAGCAAACCGCCUUUUCGAAGGUAAGGGUGAAAGGGUGCGGUAAGAGCGCACCGCGUAUCUGGUAACAGAUGCGGCACGGCAAACCUCGUCCGAAGCAAGGCCAAAUAGGGAUCGCUUAUGGUGCAUUUCCACACCGCGAUCCGGGUAGGUCGCUAGAGCGGCUUGGCAACAAGCCGCCCAGAUGAAUAGCCAUCGCCCCUUUGGGGUACAGAACCCGGCUUAUAGAUCUUUCAAGUGU